CAGCAGACCCUUAUGUCAGCCAGGUCCCUUCCUUGUGGGAGCCCAGAGUGCAACAGCUGCAAACAGCAGCCUGCUCGGCAGUUUAUCCAUCCUGCUACUUCUUUAGGUUGUCCCUAGUGACCUUGGAGACAUCC